rnacentral:antisense_RNA from 1 species
UCAGUUGUAGAGAGUUUCUCUUCCGGGCGAGUUACCAGCUCGUACCGGAACUGUAAAAAAGCCGACCUCACCAGUCGGUUUUUUUUAC